AGAGUUUGAUCCUGGCUCAGGAUGAACGCUAGCGACAGGCUUAACACAUGCAAGUCGAGGGGCAGCACGGGAGUAGCAAUACAACUGGUGGCGACCGGCGCACGGGUGAGUAACGCGUAUGCAACCUACCUAUCAGAGGGGAAUAACCCGGCGAAAGUCGGACUAAUACCGCAUAAAACAGGGGCACCGCAUGGUGAUAUUUGUUAAAGAAAUUCGCUGAUAGAUGGGCAUGCGUUCCAUUAGGUAGUUGGUGAGGUAACGGCUCACCAAGCCGACGAUGGAUAGGGGAACUGAGAGGUUGGUCCCCCACACUGGUACUGAGACACGGACCAGACUCCUACGGGAGGCAGCAGUGAGGAAUAUUGGUCAAUGGGCGGGAGCCUGAACCAGCCAAGUCGCGUGAAGGAAGAAGGAUCUAUGGUUCGUAAACUUCUUUUGCAGGGGAAUAAAGUGCAGGACGUGUCCUGUUUUGUAUGUACCCUGAGAAUAAGGAUCGGCUAACUCCGUGCCAGCAGCCGCGGUAAUACGGAGGAUCCGAGCGUUAUCCGGAUUUAUUGGGUUUAAAGGGUGCGUAGGUGGUUUGAUAAGUCAGCGGUGAAAGUUUGCAGCUUAACUGUAAAAACGCCGUUGAAACUGUCGGACUUGAGUGUAAAUGAGGUAGGCGGAAUGCGUGGUGUAGCGGUGAAAUGCAUAGAUAUCACGCAGAACUCCGAUUGCGAAGGCAGCUUACUAAGCUACAACUGACACUGAAGCACGAAAGCGUGGGGAUCAAACAGGAUUAGAUACCCUGGUAGUCCACGCAGUAAACGAUGAUUACUAGCUGUUUGCGAUACACAGUAAGCGGCACAG
rnacentral:rRNA from 1 species